GGGAAGGUAGCUCAGUGGUAGAGUGCUUGCCUUGCAUGCAUAAGACCCUGGGUUCGAUUCCUCAGCACCA
rfam:Dipodomys ordii contig_51540, whole genome shotgun sequence.